rnacentral:misc_RNA from 1 species
UUGAAUAAAAAAAAAUAAUAACUCAAAUUUCACUUCUUUUUAUUCCUAUUAUUACACAUUCUUUUUUUUCAUUUAAAAAAAAAUCUUUCAUCUUUUAUUUUUCGGACCUGAGUAUUCCGAUUUUAUUAAUCGGUUACCUAAAAUUAUAUAUAUGUAAUGUGAAGCGUACUAAUUAUAGUCGCUAAUCAUUUAUACUUAUUACAUUACAACUUAAGUAUUUAUGUGGUGGUGUAUAAAUUAUGAGAAUGACCUCAAGUCAUGGUAGAGUACCCGCUGAACUUAAGCAUAUCAAUAAGCGGAG